CACGAAUUCCAUGAAGCACGGUAAGCUGAUCUCGUACCGGGAGCCCAGGCGUUAUCGAGGAGCAGGAGAGUUGAUCGCGGAACAUUUGGGACAGCCCAGGUUCCCCUGAAAGGAGCCACGCUACGAGAGGCAAUUGCUGUUGUAGCACCAGACCGUGAGAGUUCCCGUCCGGAUCCAGAAGGAGGUCCUGGAAGCACGGGAU